AAUAUUGCGCAAUGGAGGGAACUCUGACGCAGCGACGCCGCGUGAGCGAUGAAGGUUUUCGGAUCGUAAAGCUCUGUCCUUGGGGAAGAAGGCGGCCAUUUUUGGCCACUUGACGGUACCCAAGGAGGAAGCCCCGGCUAACUACGUGCCAGCAGCCGCGGUAAUACGUAGGGGGCAAGCGUUGUCCGGAAUUAUUGGGCGUAAAGGGCGCGCAGGCGGUCUUUUAAGUCUGAUGUGAAAUCUCGUAGCUUAACUACGAGCGGUCAUUGGAAACUGGAAGACUUGAGGACAGAAGAGGAGAGUGGAAUUCCACGUGUAGCGGUGAAAUGCGUAGAGAUGUGGAGGAACACCAGUGGCGAAGGCGACUCUCUGGUCUGUAACUGACGCUGAGGCGCGAAAGCGUGGGGAGCGAACA
rnacentral:rRNA from 1 species